GUGCCCCCUUCAGCAGCACAUAUAGUAAAACUGGACCAAUAUAAAGAUGAUCAGAAUGUUGUCUGCCAGAGGGUGACAUGGAAAUUCUCAAAGUGUUCCAGAUUUAU
ensembl:snRNA Gm55060 U6 spliceosomal RNA